CGUUGGUGGCUUUCAUCCAAUACCCCUGUGAACCUUUGGNNUCUUGCUCGCUUCGGCUGGCAGAGGAUUUUUACACACUCGAAUGUAAUGAAAACUAUUGUCGUGCGCAAGCACUAAUGUACAACUUUCAACAACGGAUCUCUUGGCUCUCGCAUCGAUGAAGAACGCAGCGAAAUGCGAUAAGUAAUGUGAAUUGCAGAAUUCAGUGAAUCAUCGAAUCUUUGAACGCACCUUGCACCCUUUGGUAUUCCGAAGGGUAUGCUCGUUUGAGUGUCAUUGUACUCUCACACUCCCUGAUCUUUUUGGAUUCAGGGAGCGGUGGAUUUGGGUGCUUGCUGCUUUCCUUGUGGCUCACCUUAAAUGCGUCAGUGCAUCUCUUAGUUGGACAUAGUACGGCGUGAUAAGUAUCUUCGCCGGCACCUCGCAAGAGGGUGGCCGAUUGGGAGCUCUGUGCUUUCAAACCGUCUUCGGACAAUGUCUGACAACUUGACCUCAAAUCGAGUAGGACUACC
rnacentral:rRNA from 1 species